rfam:Pteropus alecto contig6091, whole genome shotgun sequence.
AAGACUGACAGGGCACCUACACUAACACUGGAAUGAUACAGAAAUUGGCAUGGCUCCUGUGCAAGGAUGACAUGUGACUUCAUAAAGCAUUCCAUAUUUUU